ACUCCUGUUCUUGGCAGGCCCCGGCCGCCCCGUGCCUGGGUCUGUGAUGUCCGGAGGUAGAGCAGUGACUCUU
rnacentral:snoRNA from 1 species